GACGAACGCUGGCGGCGUGCUUAACACAUGCAAGUCGUACGGUAAGGCCCUUUCGGGGGUACACGAGUGGCGAACGGGUGAGUAACACGUGAGUAACCUGCCCACAACUUUGGGAUAACGCUAGGAAACUGGUGCUAAUACUGGAUAUGUGCUCCUGCUGCAUGGUGGGGGUUGGAAAGCUCCGGGGGUUGGGGAUGGACUCGCGGCCUAUCAGCUUGUUGGUGGGGUAGUGGCCUACCAAGGGGGCGACGGGGAGCCGGCCUGAGAGGGUGACCGGCCACAUUGGGACUGGGAUACGGCCCAGACUCCUACGGGGGGCAGGAGGGGGGAAUAUUGCACAAAGGGCGCAAGCCUGAUGCAGGAACGCCGCGUGCGGGAUGACGGCCUUCGGGUUGUAAACCGCUUUCAGCAGGGACGAAGCUUUUUGUGACGGUACCUGCAGAAGAAGCACCGGCUAACUACGUG
rnacentral:rRNA from 1 species